CCGCUGUCAGUAAGGUGCUUGUUUAUGCUUCCGCUACUACUCUCUCUGUGCUGCGCCACCGCCAUCGCCAUUUCCGCCGCAGGGGAGAGAAAAAAAAAAAAAAAAAAAAAAAAAAAAACAACUAAAUAACCAAAUAGUCAGCCAGCCAGAGAGAGAGGGUAGUUGUUCUGGGAUUUUCUUCCUCUGUUUUUCGGGGGCUUAUGGGUAAAGAUUCUUUGGUCUUAGUAAAGUCAGUUCCUUUAAAAGAUGCGUUGUGAGAUAUAGAGAGGUAGAGAGAGGGAUAAUUGUGAUUUGAGCUUAACAAAGAAUCUUGAAACUAAAAAAGAAAAGGGCAGGGAUUGGAGAGGAAGGUAAAAGCCAAGUGGAGCUGGGUUUUUGCUGAGCUAAGGCCAAUAUAUACAGACACAGCGAAUCUGUAUGUAUUUUUGUGAGAACCUUCUCUCCCUUAUUU
rnacentral:misc_RNA from 1 species